rnacentral:rRNA from 1 species
GACGAACGCUGGCGGCGUGCUUAACACAUGCAAGUCGAACGAGAGCGUAGAGAAAGCUUGCUUUUUCUACAGUCUAGUGGCGAACGGUUGAGUAACGCGUAAACAACCUGCCCUACGGAUGGGGACAACAGCUGGAAGCGUCUGCUAAGACCGAAUGCGUUCCGAACGUCGGCUGACUCUCGGUAGAAAGGUUGGCCUCUAUUUAUGAGCUAUCGCCGGAGGAGGGGUUUGCGUCUGAUUAGCUGGUUGGGGGGGUAACGGGCCACCAAGGCGACGAUCAGUAGCCGGUCUGGGAGGAUGAACGGCCACACUGGAACGGAGACAAGGUCCAGACUACUACGGGAGGCAGCAGUGGGGAAGCUUCCGCAAUGGGAGAAAGGCUGACGGAGCAAAGCCGCGGGGGGGAAGAGGGCCUUCGGGUUGGAAAGCUCUGUUAUACGGGACGAAUAAUCUUGUGGUUAAUACCCAGGAGAAGUGACGGUACCGUAAGAGAAAGCCACGGCUAACUACGUG